UGGGGAAUAUUGCACAAUGGGCGCAAGCCUGAUGCAGCCAUGCCGCGUGUGUGAAGAAGGCCUUCGGGUUGUAAAGCACUUUCAGUCGUGAGGAAGGUAGUGUAGUUAAUAGCUGCAUUAUUUGACGUUAGCGACAGAAGAAGCACCGGCUAACUCCGUGCCAGCAGCCGCGGUAAUACGGAGGGUGCGAGCGUUAAUCGGAAUUACUGGGCGUAAAGCGCAUGCAGGUGGUUUGUUAAGUCAGAUGUGAAAGCCCGGGGCUCAACCUCGGAAUAGCAUUUGAAACUGGCAGACUAGAGUACUGUAGAGGGGGGUAGAAUUUCAGGUGUAGCGGUGAAAUGCGUAGAGAUCUGAAGGAAUACCGGUGGCGAAGGCGGCCCCCUGGACAGAUACUGACACUCAGAUGCGAAAAGCGUGGGGAGCAAACAGGAUUAGAUACCCUGGUAGUCCACGCCGUAAACGAUGUCUACUUGGAGGUUGUGGCCUUGAGCCGUGGCUUUCGGAGCUAACGCGUUAAGUAGACCGCCUGGGAGUACGGUCGCAAGAUUAAAAGCUCAAA
rnacentral:rRNA from 1 species